AGUGAACGCUGGCGGUAGGCCUAACACAUGCAAGUCGAACGGCAGCACAGUAAGAGCUUGCUCUUACGGGUGGCGAGUGGCGGACGGGUGAGGAAUACAUCGGAAUCUACUUUUUCGUGGGGGAUAACGUAGGGAAACUUACGCUAAUACCGCAUACGACCUACGGGUGAAAGCAGGGGAUCUUCGGACCUUGCGCGAUUGAAUGAGCCGAUGUCGGAUUAGCUAGUUGGCGGGGUAAAGGCCCACCAAGGCGACGAUCCGUAGCUGGUCUGAGAGGAUGAUCAGCCACAGUGGAACUGAGACACGGUCCAGACUCCUACGGGAGGCAGCAGUGGGGAAUAUUGGACAAGGGGAGCAAGCCUGAUCCAGCCAUACCGCGUGGGUGAAGAAGGCCUGCGGGUUGUAAAGCCCUUUUGUUGGGAAAGAAAAGCAGCAGGUUAAUACCCCGCUGUUCGGACGGUACCCAAAGAAUAAGCACCGGCUAACUUCGG
rnacentral:rRNA from 1 species